GAUGAACGCUGGCGGCGUGCCUAAUACAUGCAAGUCGAGCGAACGGACGAGAAGCUUGCUUCUCUGAUGUUAGCGGCGGACGGGUGAGUAACACGUGGAUAACCUACCUAUAAGACUGGGAUAACUUCGGGAAACCGUAGCUAAUACCGGAUAAUAUUUUGAACCGCAUGGUUCAAAAGUGAAAGACGGUCUUGCUGUCACUUAUAGAUGGAUCCGCGCUGCAUUAGCUAGUUGGUAAGGUAACGGCUUACCAAGGCAACGAUGCAUAGCCGACCUGAGAGGGUGAUCGGCCACACUGGAACUGAGACACGGUCCAGACUCCUACGGGAGGCAGCAGUAGGGAAUCUUCCGAAAUGGGCGAAGGCCUGACGGAGCAACGCCGCGUGAGUGAUGAAGGUCUUCGGAUCGUAAAACUCUGUUAUUAGGGAAGAACAUAUGUGUAAGUAACUGUGCACAUCUUGACGGUACCUAAUCAGAAAGCCACGGCUAACUACGUG
rnacentral:rRNA from 1 species